rnacentral:tRNA from 1 species
GCAUCUGUAGUUAUUUGGCUUGUCAGUAACAUCCAAUUCUCUCUUUUUACAUUUUUUACAUGGUCUCAUCUUUAUAAAAUAUGGCUUAUAUUUCGGCCUUCCAAGUCGAAGACCCGGGUUCAAAUCCCGGCUGAUGCA